rnacentral:misc_RNA from 1 species
CUCUGCGUGGCGGCCGUCGGAAUAAAUUAUUACAAGAGAGAAAUUCUCUUCACUUUUUCAACAUUAUCAACAGUUCAAUACCAAAUGAUGAUUCAAAGCUACUUGUCUGUCGAUGGACUCCUCCGAUCACACCAAUGAUUGAUCCCAUUGGUUUCAUCAAUCAACACAGUUUUGUAAUCUAUUCGAUCAAAAGUAAUUUAUUCCGACGGCCGCCACGCAGAG